GCCAGCAUGGUAUAGUGAUUUGAGUGCUGGACUAUGCUUCUGGAGGCCAGGGUUUGAAUCCCUGUUCAGCCA